rnacentral:rRNA from 1 species
CAGCAGCCGCGGUAAUGCGAAGGGUGCAAGCGUUAAUCGGAAUUACUGGGCGUAAAGCGUGCGUAGGCGGUGAGUUAAGUCUGCUGUGAAAUCCCCGGGCUCAACCUGGGAAUGGCAGCGGAUACUGGCUCGCUAGAGUGUGUCAGAGGAUGGUGGAAUUCCCGGUGUAGCGGUGAAAUGCGUAGAGAUCGGGAGGAACAUCAGUGGCGAAGGCGGCCAUCUGGGACAACACUGACGCUGAGGCACGAAAGCGUGGGGAGCAAACAGGAUUAGAUACCCCUGUAGUCCCUGUCUCUUAUAC